rnacentral:rRNA from 1 species
UCAUAUCAAUAAGCGGAGGAAAAGAAACUAACAAGGAUUCCCCUAGUAACUGCGAGUGAAGCGGGAAAAGCUCAAAUUUAAAAUCUGGCGGUCUUUGGCCGUCCGAGUUGUAGUCUGGAGAAGUGCUUUCCGCGCUGGACCGUGUAUAAGUCUCUUGGAACAGAGCGUCAUAGAGGGUGAGAAUCCCGUCUUUGACACGGACUACCAGUGCUUUGUGAUGCGCUCUCAAAGAGUCGAGUUGUUUGGGAAUGCAGCUCAAAAUGGGUGGUGAAUUCCAUCUAAAGCUAAAUAUUGGCGAGAGACCGAUAGCGAACAAGUACCGUGAGGGAAAGAUGAAAAGCACUUUGGAAAGAGAGUUAAACAGUACGUGAAAUUGCUGAAAGGGAAACGCUUGAAGUCAGUCGCGUUGUCCGGAACUCAGCCUUGCUUUCGCUUGGUGCACUUUCCGGAUGACGGGUCAGCAUCGAUUUUGACCGUCGGAAAAGGGCUGGAGUAAUGUGGCACCUCCGGGUGUGUUAUAGACUCUGGUCGCAUACGGCGGUUGGGAUCGAGGAACGCAGCGCGCCGCAAGGCAGGGGUUCGCCCACUUUCGCGCUUAGGAUGCUGGCAUAAUGGCUUUAAACGACCCGUCUUGAAACACGGACCAAGGAGUCUAACAUACCUGCGAGUGUUUGGGUGGAAAACCCGAGCGCGUAAUGAAAGUGAAAGUUGAGAUCCCUGUCGUGGGGAGCAUCGACGCCCGGACCUGACGUUCUCUGACGGAUCCGCGGUAGAGCAUGUAUGUUGGGACCCGAAAGAUGGUGAACUAUGCCUGAAUAGGGUGAAGCCAGAGGAAACUCUGGUGGAGGCUCGUAGCGAUUCUGACGUGCAAAUCGAUCGUCAAAUUUGGGUAUAGGGGCGAAAGACUAAUCGAACCAUCUAGUAGCUGGUUCCUGCCGAU